rnacentral:misc_RNA from 1 species
GUACAAUUUUAUUAAUCAUUACAAGUUGAAAAUUUUCAACAAGACAAUCUGGUAUUUCGAUUUGCAAAGCAUGUUCAAUAGUUUCAUUGAUUCCACGUUCUUAUAACCUUCAUGAACUUAUCAUCAACUUUACCAUUAUAUGGCUAACAAAUUUACUAUCAAAAUUGAUCAGAUACAACUCGUAAACGUAAUUAGAACUGAAAGCCUAAACUCAAUUUGCAAAAUUUGCAAAGCUUGAUCUCUCUGUACUUUAAAUCAUUGCAUACCUCUUCAAUGUCUGCUUCCCCGCCACAACAGCCCCAGCCACCAACCCUCCCAAC